rnacentral:rRNA from 1 species
UACGUAGGGUGCGAGCGUUGUCCGGAUUUAUUGGGCGUAAAGGGCGCGUAGGCGGCUCUGCACGUCCGUUGUGAAAUCGCCCGGCUCAACUGGGCGGGGUCAGCGGAUACGGCAGAGCUUGAGCAAGCUAGGGGGCAAUGGAAUUCCCGGUGUAGUGGUGGAAUGCGUAGAUAUCGGGAGGAACACCAGUGGCGAAGGCGGUUGCCUGGGGCUUUGCUGACGCUGAUGCGCGAAAGCGUGGGAGCGAUCCGG